CUACGUGCCAGCAGCCGCGGUAAUACGGAAGGUCCGGGCGUUAUCCGGAUUUAUUGGGUUUAAAGGGAGCGUAGGCCGGGGAUUAAGUGUGUUGUGAAAUGUAGGCGCCCAACGUCUGACUUGCAGCGCAUACUGGUUCCCUUGAGUACGCGCAACGCCGGCGGAAUUCGUCGUGUAGCGGUGAAAUGCUUAGAUAUGACGAAGAACCCCGAUUGCGAAGGCAGCCGGCGGGAGCGCAACUGACGCUGAAGCUCGAAGGUGCGGGUAUCGAACAGGAUUAGAUACCCUGGUAGUCCGCACGGUAAACGAUGGAUGCCCGCUGUCGGCGCCUUGCGCCGGCGGCCAAGCGAAAGCGUUAAGCAUCCCACCUGGGGAGUACGCCGGCAACGGUGAAACUCAAAGGAAUUGACGGGGGCCCGCACAAGCGGAGGAACAUGUGGUUUAAUUCGAUGAUACGCGAGGAACCUUACCCGGGCUUGAA
rnacentral:rRNA from 1 species